rnacentral:rRNA from 1 species
UACGUAGGGCGCAAGCGUUGUCCGGAAUUAUUGGGCGUAAAGAGCUCGUAGGCGGCCUGUUGCGUCCGCUGUGAAAUCCCGGGGCUUAACCCCGGGCGUGCAGUGGAUACGGGCAGGCUGGAGGCAGGCAGGGGAGAACGGAAUUCCCGGUGUAGCGGUGAAAUGCGCAGAUAUCGGGAGGAACACCGGUGGCGAAGGCGGCCAACUGGACCAUUACUGACGCUGAGGCGCGAAAGCGUGGGGAGCAAACAGG